rnacentral:rRNA from 1 species
CAACUUUCAACAACGGAUCUCUUGGCUCUCGCAUCGAUGAAGAACGCAGCGAAAUGCGAUAAGUAAUGUGAAUUGCAGAAUUCAGCGAAUCAUCGAAUCUUUGAACGCACCUUGCGCCCCUUGGUAUUCCGAGGGGCAUGCCUGUUUGAGUGUCAUG